rnacentral:rRNA from 1 species
GAUGAACGCUGGCGGCGUGCCUAAUACAUGCAAGUCGAGCGAACAGACGAGGAGCUUGCUCCUCUGACGUUAGCGGCGGACGGGUGAGUAACACGUGGAUAACCUACCUAUAAGACUGGGAUAACUUCGGGAAACCGGAUCUAAUACCGUAUAACAUGUUGAACCGCAUGGUUCAACAGUGAAAGACGGUCUUGCUGUCACUUAUAGAUGGAUCCGCGCCGCAUUAGCUAGUGGGUAAGGUAACGGCUUACCAAGGCAACGAUGCGUACCCGACCUGAGAGGGUGAUCAGCCACACUGGAACUGAGACACGGUCCAGACUCCUACGGGAGGCAGCAGUGGGGAAUCUUCCGCAAUGGGCGAAAGCCUGACGGAGCAACGCCGCGUGAGUGAAGAAGGUCUUCGGAUCGUAAAGCUCUGUUAUUAGGGAAGAACAAAUGUGUAAGUAACUAUGCACGUCUUGACGGUACCUAAUCAGAAAGCCACGGCUAACUACGUG